GGGUGGUGGAGUCGGAUUUUGAGGCCGACAUAGAGGUCGUGUUUCCCUUUCGAUUUUCUCUCGAGGUCUCCUUGUUCUUGUUAGUGUUUUGGUCUAGUUGGGCUUUUGGUGUUGUUGGUUUUGUUUGGUUGUUUGUGCUUUGCUGAAUUAAAGUGGUAAGGUUUGGAUUUGGUAUUAGCGUUUGGAUUUGGCUGCUCUUCAGAGUUUGGGUUUUGCUAUGAGUGGGAUUGAACAAUUGGUUUAGCAAACUUUUGUCUAAGGUUAAUGGGUGCGGUGAUUGCUUGUCUUGUGUGGUUCUUUGUCCGGGAGUAUCCGGUGAUAUUAUGUUGACAAGGCUUCGUAGUUGUGGGGUUUAGUUGAGCUUCUUUUUAGGAUUAAGUGGUCGUAUGGGAUUGCGCCAGAUCCGUAUCCAAAGGUUGUGUUGAUCGAAUUUGCGGUCCCUCUUGUCGGAUUAUGAAGUCUCAUGUUCUUGGAGUUUGGACGUUACCGUUUGGCGGGCGUAAGCAGCAGCGGUAAGUCGUGGUGUGACGUUAAGAAGUGGAUGUUAUCGUGUGCGGGUUUGUAGCAGCGACGAUAUUUCCCUGAUCAUUGGCCCAUGCUUGUUUCUAAAGUCUGUUGAAUUAUUUUGUUUAAUGCUCGUUUGUAGUGAUUAGUCGUAAAUCUAAGUCACCCCUGUGUGGGUUCUAGUUGCCGCCUUCAUGUGGGCUCUUGUUUCUGGGGCUUAUUCAUUAUGCCGUCAGUUUGUGUAUCACAACUGCUAUUUUACUUUGAAUGAAUUUUAUGAUGGAAAAAAAAAGAAAAAAAAAGACCCA
rnacentral:lncRNA from 1 species